rnacentral:rRNA from 1 species
UUACCGUGAGGGGAAAGUUGAAAAGCACUUUGAAGAGAGAGUUCAAGAGUACGUGAAACCGUUCAGGGGUAAACCUGAGAAACCCGAAAGGUCGAAUGGGGAAAUUCAUUCGCGUUUCGAUUGUCGGCGUUGAGCGGUUGCGUGACGAACGGAGUACGCUUCGUACGCACCAUCUGUUCUUCGAUCCGGCUUCGAACGCGUGCACUUUUCCUCUAGUAGGACGUCGCGAUCCGUUGAGUGUCGAUCUAAGGCCGGUGGUGGAGAUCUCGUAGACGUUUAGGCGUUCUGCGGGAACCCGCCGAGUCCCGAUCGGCUCGCUCGACGGUAUAAAGAUGGCGUGGGGCCGCUACGUUAGUUAGCGUUCGAAAUACGGCAAGCACGUUCGUAAGAUGGCAAUCAGACCUGGUCGGAUUCCGUCUCCGGACGACUGUUGGUACGUGAAAUUCUCGAACAGACCUCAUUCGAAACGCCGAUCUGCGACGCUAUAGCUUUGGGUACUUUCAGGACCCGUCUUGAAACACGGACCAAGGAGUCUU